AGCGAGAUAGUGUAAUAUGCAGCACGAGAGACUCAUUACCUCUUAGUUUAGGUUCAACUCCUAAUUUCGCUA
rnacentral:tRNA from 1 species